rnacentral:piRNA from 1 species
UGUGUUAAAAUGAAUCUCUCGCUCA